AUAUCAAUAAGCGGAGGAAAAGAAACUAACAAGGAUUCCCCUAGUAACGGCGAGUGAAGCGGGAAGAGCUCAAAUUUAAAAUCUGGUAGCAUGCGCUGCCCGAGUUGUAGUCUAGAGAAGCAUCAUCCGCGCUGGACCAUGUACAAGUCUCUUGGAACAGAGCGUCAUAGAGGGUGAGAAUCCCGUCCUUGACAUGGACUACCAGUGCUUUGUGUUGUGCUCUCAACGAGUCGAGUUGUUUGGGAAUGCAGCUCAAAAUGGGUGGUAAAUUCCAUCUAAAGC
rnacentral:rRNA from 1 species